rnacentral:rRNA from 1 species
GAGUUUAAUCCUGGCUCAGGAUGAACGCUGGCGGCGUGCUUAACACAUGCAAGUCGAACGAGGAAUUUUAAAUGAGACUUCGGUGGAUUUUAAAAUUCUUAGUGGCGGACGGGUGAGUAACGCGUGGGCAACCUGCCCUGUACAGGGGGGACAACAGCUGGAAACGGCUGCUAAUACCGCAUAAGACCACGGAGCCGCAUGGCUCAGUGGGAAAAACUCCAGUGGUACAGGAUGGGCCCGCGUUGGAUUAGGUAGUUGGUGAGGUAACGGCCCACCAAGCCGACGAUCCAUAGCCGACCUGAGAGGGUGACCGGCCACGUUGGGACUGAGACACGGCCCAAACUCCUACGGGAGGCAGCAGUGGGGAAUCUUCCGCAAUGGGCGAAAGCCUGACGGAGCAACGCCGCGUGAGUGAAGAAUUAUUUCGGUAUGUAAAGCUCUAUCAGCAGGGAAGAAAAUGACGGUACCUGACUAAGAAGCCCCGGCUAACUACGUGCCAGCAGCCGCGGU